rnacentral:rRNA from 1 species
UACGGGGGGGGCAAGCGUUGUUCGGAAUUACUGGGCGUAAAGAGCUCGUAGGUGGUUUGUCGCGUUGUCCGUGAAAACUCACAGCUCAACUGUGGGCGUGCGGGCGAUACGGGCAGACUGGAGUACUGCAGGGGAGACUGGAAUUCCUGGUGUAGCGGUGGAAUGCGCAGAUAUCAGGAGGAACACCGGUGGCGAAGGCGGGUCUCUGGCAGUAACUGACGCUGAGGAGCGAAGCGUGGGUAGCGAACAGG